rnacentral:ncRNA from 2 species
UAGCUUAGCUAGGGGUGCCCGAAUAUCCGGGCUGAGAAAACACCCUUAGAACCUGAGUCUGGGUAAUACCAGCGGAGGGAAGCUGUUUAUCAAGGAA